GUGAAGCAAUGACGUGUUGAUCAAUCAUACUGAAUCAACAAUCGAGAUGUGUUUGACGGUCUGAAAUUGGUGCAUCAGGGUUAGUGAUGGCACAAGGGUUGUGUUGUCAAGAGAGUCAUGCGAUUGGGGUUAUGACUGCACAAGAGUUGUGCUUUCUAAACACCUUUUGGAACAGUGUUAACCGGUUAACGAAUAUGGUUAACCGGUUAACGCAAUACGAAAUAAAAUUUUUAACAUUUUUCAAACAGUGUUAAUCGGUUAACGCAUUUGGUUAACAGGUUAACGCAAGACGGAAAACAGUUUUCCAAGAGAUUUUCAAACAGUGUUAACCGGUUAACGCAUUUGGUUAACCGGUUAAUGCAAGGCAGAAAACAAUUUUUGAACAGAUUUCAAACAGUGUUAACCGGUUAACGCAUAUGGUUAACCGGUUAACGCAAGGCAAAAUUCACCCGUUCGGCUAACUCUACGUAAUGUGAUCGGUCGUCGAGAUUUAAUUUGGUUUUAAUUAAUUAAAAGAAUUAAAAUUGAUAAUAAUAAUAAUGUGUUUAUUAUUGUCUUGUGGUGAUCGGUUAUG
rnacentral:lncRNA from 1 species